UUCAAAAAGGGAGUGCUAUUCCUUCUUCUCCUAUUCUUAUCUGUCUUUUUAAACUCAUUUUGAACACCCUCUUCUCUUUCUCAGAAGGGAGAAAAAGAAGGAAGGAGUCCGGACGGAGAAGAAGUGAGUUGUUGCCUCUGCUUUGCUUAUUUUAUAUUAUACAACAUUCAAUGUAUUUAGUUAGACAGACUGCACUCACCUUCUCUUGCUCCUUCUUCUUCUGCUCUCUCUCAUUCUCUCACUCCCUUCCAUAAUUCCCCCUUCCUUCUCCUACUUACUACUACCUCAUUGGCAGGGUAGGCUGGGAAAAUCUCUUCUUCCGUUACUGUAUGUACUAGCACUGUAGAAUAGAGAAUAGAGUGUAAUCAAAAAGAUUUCUCCUUCACGCAGUUAUCAGAGGAUAUUUGGCAGGGUAUCACUUCACAACCCAUUCCACAUACCUCUUUUUUUGUAAAGUCUCCCUAACACGGAGAUAAUAAGUGGAUCCUCAUGGAGAUUUGAAGGACACUUUGGAUUUUUUUUUCUCUCAUCCCUUCUACGUAUUUUCUUCCUUCUUUGUUUUCUUUUUUAAAAAAAAAUCAUCACAACUGAUCAUCACUCGGUGUAUUUUAAACUUUUUCCUUAAGCAAAUUACACCCUAAAACCAUCUAGUCAACAAACAGUACAAUACAAUACUAGUUUCAAAAAAGCAAUAGUUCAAUUAUUACCCUUGAGGUAUCUGCUGGCCAUGGACCGAGAAACACUCAAACAACAAAUUUCAAACAUGCAUUAUCAAGCUAAGAUGGAGCGAUGGCCACUCUCUAAGUCCAUAGAAGCAAUGAAGGAAUUCAUUGAGGAAAACGAGAAGUCAGAUCCAUUGAUCCAUGCUCCAGAUAAGAAAAACAAUCCUUGGAUGGAGAAAGGAAAAUGUAGUCUUAUGUAAUCUCACAAAAAUUAUCAAUAAAUAUUGGAAGAGAUAUAGCCCACAUCACACCUCCAAAUAUAAAAAAAAGAACAAGUCAUUUAAGACCAUCAUGUAAAGAUCUGAUCCAAAAGCUCUUCUAGUUUAUAAAUAUUUUUCUUUAUAUAAGUUAUAAUAUUAUUUGAAUAGGUUUUUCCGGAAUAAAUUUUUUUUUUUUUUUCAUUCGUUUUUUGUUUUUGCACGUCCAAUUAUUAUCAUUAUUAUUACUUUUUUAAUAAGGCCUAAACUUUUUUAAGUUACGUAAUCAAGUGGUUGCUAAAUGUGGUUUUAUUUUUGAAUCCAUAAAAAAAUGAAAAAAUAAAAUAAAAAUACAUAUUACCUUUUAUGUAAUCCAAUGAAUUUUUGAGCUAAAGAAAUCCCAUUUUGUCUUCUUCAUACUUUUAAAAUAUAAUAAUAUAUCUCAAGCAACAAAUCUUAUAUUUUCUUAAACCAUAGUCACAUAUGUAUUAACAAAGUAUAUUUAUUUGUCUUCGUCAAUUAUAUUUUUUUCUCAUCCCCUAAUUCACAAUUAAUUUAAUGCAUAAUAGGUAGUUAGAAAAACCAUUAUACCAACAUUUAAUUAGGACAAUUAUUUAAUGUUAAUUUACAGAAAAUAAAUAUAUAAAAAAACAUUGAGAGAUUUAAGCAAAUGUAAGAUUAUCUAACUACAAUCUAAAAUGAUAGAACACUCUCCAAUGAACACCAUUAUCCCAUACUUCCCAAAAAUGUAAAAUUCUAGAUACUAAAUCCUGUAAUUAUUUAAGAAAUGUAAAUUUUAAAGUAGUGGACUUUCAACUUGUAGUCAUUGUCGUCUAAUAUAAACAUUAUUUAUAACAAAAAAAUUGUAAGAGAGAUAGAGACAAAUGAGCUAAAAAGAACAUCUUUGAACAAUGGCCAUGAUUUGAAAAUCACUCACAAAAUUGAGUCCAUAUAUUUCUUAACAAAUUAUAAUGUGAUUUUUUUUCUUUGAGUAUAAAGCUAUUUGGGAUUUUUGAGGAUAUUGUGGUAGAAUGAGGUUUUUUUAUUUAUGAGCAAUCAAGAAAAAAUCCCCAUGUGGAAAAAAAACAAAAAAAACAAUUAUCUGAAAUGCAUUUAAAUAAUAAUAAUUUCUUGCUUCUCUUCUUCAUUAAUUCACCAUUUUUCUGUUGUAUUUUGUUGUUCCUUGCUUGAUUUGAAAAAUUCACAUUUCAACUUUAUAGUUAUAAUCCAUAUUUUAAAAUUUUACUUCUAUAAACAUAUACUUUACUAUGAUUAAAUUAUUAUUGAAAACAAUGAUUAUCUCUAAUAUUACAUAACCAUAUUAUUACAUAAUAUAAUUCUUAUUCUUCAAACUCUUUAAUAUGUUUUUGUUUCUAUAAAAUUUAUAUUCUCAUUUUGAUUGAUUUGCAAUUUUAUUAAAUGGAAUUCAUCAUAUUACAUUAAUCAAUUAUUUAAAAAAUCUCUUUUCUAUUUGUUUUCUCCUGUUUAAACUUUUAUUUCAAUUAAAGUUUAUAAAGAAUGAUUCUCACUUAAAAUAUCUUAAGAAUAAAAAGAAAUGUUGAUUCUAAAAAAA
rnacentral:lncRNA from 1 species